AGCCUUGUGGUGUAAUCAUGUUGGAUUGCAAAUCCAAAGAAGUGACUUGGUCGUCGCCGGGGCUU
rnacentral:tRNA from 1 species